rnacentral:misc_RNA from 1 species
AAGUCGUAACAAGGUCUCCGUAGGUGAACCUGCGGAGGGAUCAUUAAUGAGAACUUGCCCUAACGGGUAGAUCUCCCACCCUUUGUUAACCAAACAUUGUCGCUUUGCUUUCGUCGUCCGGCCAGACCCCCUUCCGGGGGUUCCCGCCCGGGCCCUUUCGGGGCUGGUCAGCGCCGGACAGAGGAAACUAAAACCUUUAUCACUGUCGUCAGAGUACUAUAUAAUAGUUAAAA